GACGAACGCUGGCGGCGUGCUUAACACAUGCAAGUCGAACGGAAAGGCCCUGCUUUUGUGGGGUGCUCGAGUGGCGAACGGGUGAGUAACACGUGAGUAACCUGCCCUUGACUUUGGGAUAACUUCAGGAAACUGGGGCUAAUACCGGAUAGGAGCUCCUGCUGCAUGGUGGGGGUUGGAAAGCUUCGGCGGUUGGGGAUGGACUCGCGGCUUAUCAGCUUGUUGGUGGGGUAGUGGCUUACCAAGGCUUUGACGGGUAGCCGGCCUGAGAGGGUGACCGGCCACAUUGGGACUGAGAUACGGCCCAGACUCCUACGGGAGGCAGCAGUGGGGAAUAUUGCACAAUGGGCGGAAGCCUGAUGCAGCAACGCCGCGUGCGGGAUGACGGCCUUCGGGUUGUAAACCGCUUUCGCCUGUGACGAAGCGUGAGUGACGGUAAUGGGUAAAGAAGCACCGGCUAACUACGUGCCAGCAGCCGCGGUGAUACGUAGGGUGCGAGCGUUGUCCGGAUUUAUUGGGCGUAAAGGGCUCGUAGGUGGUUGAUCGCGUCGGAAGUGUAAUCUUGGGGCUUAACCCUGAGCGUGCUUUCGAUACGGGUUGACUUGAGGAAGGUAGGGGAGAAUGGAAUUCCUGGUGGAGCGGUGGAAUGCGCAGAUAUCAGGAGGAACACCAGUGGCGAAGGCGGUUCUCUGGGCCUUUCCUGACGCUGAGGAGCGAAAGCGUGGGGAGCGAACAGGCUUAGAUACCCUGGUAGUCCACGCUGUAAACGGUGGGUACUAGGUGUGGGGUCCAUUCCACGGGUUCCGUGCCGUAGCUAACGCUUUAAGUACCCCGCCUGGGGAGUACGGCCGCAAGGCUAAAACUCAAAGGAAUUGACGGGGCCCCGCACAAGCGGCGGAGCAUGCGGAUUAAUUCGAUGCAACGCGUAGAACCUUACCUGGGUUUGACAUGGAUCGGGAGUGCUCAGAGAUGGGUGUGCCUCUUUUGGGGUCGGUUCACAGGUGGUGCAUGGCUGUCGUCAGCUCGUGUCGUGAGAUGUUGGGUUAAGUCCCGCAACGAGCGCAACCCUUGUUCACUGUUGCCAGCACGUUAUGGUGGGGACUCAGUGGAGACCGCCGGGGUCAACUCGGAGGAAGGUGGGGAUGACGCCAAGUCAUCAUGCCCCUUAUGUCCAGGGCUUCACGCAUGCUACAAUGGCUGGUACAGAGAGUGGCGAGCCUGUGAGGGUGAGCGAAUCUCGGAAAGCCGGUCUCAGUUCGGAUUGGGGUCUGCAACUCGACCUCAUGAAGUCGGAGUCGCUAGUAAUCGCAGAUCAGCAACGCUGCGGUGAAUACGUUCCCGGG
rnacentral:rRNA from 1 species